CAAAAUAAGACUAAACACCAAAACCAUAACAGAGACUUUGGAGAACACACAAACCACUCUAAACAGUGGAUUUCUACAAUAUUAAUAAAGUAACAAUGAAACAUUGUGGGAUCUGCAGGACCCGAGCAGAGCUACAAUGCUUUCCCAGUGUGGCCCAUGGUGAAAUUGAGUUUGAAACCCCUGCCCUAAAGGAUUAUGCCAUCACCAAGCUGAGCCAUCGCAGAACAGUUGCUGCAACAACUUCUUGUCAAAAUGCAUACUCCUAACUUUUCAGCAGACCUGAAAACACUACUACCCUCAUCUCAUGUCCCAGGAAUCUCUGAAUCUCUCAGUUGUUACCACCAAGCCAUGCUUUGUCAUUCCCCAGGGCUUACACCAAAUGCUUUGACAGGAGCUUUCUCCACUCUGCUGUAACAACAUGGAACAGCCUUCCCCCUGCUGUCAUCAGUGACAUCACAUCAAGUAGUGUUCAAUCCUUUAAGAAGAGAUUGAAUAAACAUCUCCUCAGCAUGAGAUUGCUAUCCCAAAGCUCAAUGACUUCAAGCAUGCACUA